GUUAGCUCAUAUUUGUAUGGAGUCGGAACGUUUGUCUACGUUUGCCGCUAGGGGCGCUGUUCCAACUGCAUACAAAAUGGGGUUA
rfam:Bombyx mori DNA, contig: Bm_scaf1_contig806, strain: p50T/Dazao, build 2, whole genome shotgun sequence.